AUGGCAAUUGUCCAUACAUACGGGAAGCCUAACAUCUUCUUGACCAUGACUUGCAAUCCUAAAUGGGAAGAGAUAACGAAUGAGUUGCUGCUUGGUCAGACGGUGCAAGACCGACCUGAUAUUGUGGCUUGCGUGUUCUACGGCAAACUAUAGGCUAUGAAAGACAUGUUGUUCAAGAAGCAUAUUCUGGGUGUUGUUGUCGCUUAUGUAUACGUAGUCGAGUUCCAAAAAAGGGGCCUUCCCCACGCACAUUUUUUGUUGAUCAUGGACUCAGCAUAUAAGCUUAUCAUCCCGGAGCAGUAUGACCGACUCAUUUCCGCGGAGCUCCCAGACAAGCAUAAGUAUCCCGGAAUUGUAUGCAAUGGUGGUAAAACAUAUGAUGCACGGACCAUGCGGUGCUCUCAACCCAAAUAA
rnacentral:rRNA from 1 species